rnacentral:tRNA from 6 species
GCGGCUGUAGCUCAGUUGGUUAGAGUACUGGAUUGUGAUUCCAGGUGUCGCCGGUUCGAGUCCGGUCAGCCGCCCCA